rnacentral:rRNA from 1 species
UACGUAGGGUGCGAGCGUUGUCCGGAAUUAUUGGGCGUAAAGGGCUCGUAGGCGGUCUGUCGCGUCGAAAGUGAAAACCCAGGGCUUAACCCUGGGCCUGCUUCCGAUACGGGCAGACUAGAGGGAUGCAGGGGAGAACGGAAUUCCUGGUGUAGCGGUGAAAUGCGCAGAUAUCAGGAGGAACACCGGUGGCGAAGGCGGUUCUCUGGGCCUGUACUGACGCUGAGGAACGAAAGCGUGGGGAGCGAACAGG